GGGAUUGUAGUUCAACGGGUUAGAGCACCGCCCUGUCAAGGCGGAAGCUGCGGGUUCGAGCCCCGUCAAUCCCGA
rnacentral:tRNA from 3 species